CCCUUAGAUGUCCGGGGCCGCACGCGCGCUACACUGAAGGAAUCAGCGUGGCUUUCUCCCUGACCCGAAAGGGUUGGGAAACCCGUUGAAUCUCCUUCGUGAUAGGGAUUGGGGCUUGAAAUUGUUCCCCAUGAACGAGGAAUUCCCAGUAAGCGCGAGUCAUAAGCUCGCGUUUAUUACGUCCCUGCCCUUUGUACACACCGCCCGUCGCUACUACCGAUUGAACGGUUUAGUGAGGGCCUCGGAUUGGUCUCGGCCCGCUCUUUACCGGGCGGCGCCGUUGGUCGAGAAGACGCUCGAACUUGAUCGUUUAGAGGAAGUAAAAGUCGUAACA
rnacentral:rRNA from 1 species